CACGUAGGCACCAAGCGUUGUCCGGAUUUAUUGGGCGUAAAGAGCUCGUAGGCGGUUCGGUAAGUCGGGUGUGAAAACUCUGGGCUCAACCCAGAGCCGCCACCUGAUACUGCUGUGACUAGAGUGCGGUAGGGGAGCGGGGAAUUCCCGGUGUAGCGGUGAAAUGCGCAGAUAUCGGGAAGAACACCCGUGGCGAAGGCGGCUCUCUGGAACGCAACUGACGCUGAGACGCGAAAGCGUGGGGAGCAAACAGG
rnacentral:rRNA from 1 species